rnacentral:lncRNA from 1 species
AUCACGGCGCGUCGCGCGGGAAGUCGCGGGGAAAAGGUAAGAUGCCCCUUCCUAAUUCCCUCGCUUCCUUGCUUGCUCUCCAGACACCGCCGACCCGAAGGGCUCCUAAGUGACUGGACAGGGACGGAGGGGCGGCGGCUAUGGCAUCCGGGACGACAGCGACGAUAGCCGAGGCAAGAAAAAGCUUGCACCGCAGCCCUGUCGGGAACCGCCGGCGCCUGCCUUUUACGUAGGCGCAGCACAGCUGGCGUAGCACGCCGACGCACCGCCCCGUCGCCUGUGAGCUCGCGGUGUGGCUCAGCCCAGCUGGCGUAGCACGCCGACGCACCGCCCCGCCGCUUGUGAGCUCGCGAGAGGUCGCCAGAAACUUGGUGGAGCGAGCCAAGGGCGGAGUUUGAGAAAGGGGCUGCGUCCAAUGAGUGGAGCGAACCGCGGCAGGGGCCAAGCCUCCUCAACUAUGACCUCAACCGGCCAGGAUUCCACCACAACCAGGCAGCGAAGAAGUAGGCAGAACCCCCAGUCGCCCCCUCAGGACUCCAGUGUCACUUCGAAGCGAAAUAUUAAAAAGGGAGCCGUUCCCCGCUCUAUCCCCAAUCUAGCGGAGGUAAAG